AAACUGUUAUCCCAGGAUAACACCAAAGAUAAGUUAAAAUCUCUGGAUCCUCACCCAGAAUGAGGUGGAAUAAAGCCUGAAGGAUUCCCAUUUUUCCAGGAAAACAGCCCCAAACUGCCUGGGAUAACAGCAAAGAUCAGGUUAAAAUCCCUGGAUCCUCACCCAGACCAGGCUGCUGAACAUUCCCAUGGAAUAAAUCCUGAAGGAUUCCCAUUGCUCCAUGAAAAAUGGCUCCAAAACUCACUGGGAUAACAGGAAAGGUCAGGUUAAAAUCCCUGGAUCCUCACCCAGAAUAAGCUGGAAUAAAUCCUGAAGGAUUCCCACUGAAAAUGGCUCCAAACUCACUGGGAUAACAGCAAAGAGCAAGGAAAAAUCCCUGGAUUCUCACCCACACCGAGCUGGAAUAAAUCCUGAAGGAUUCCCACUGCUCCAUGAAAAAAGGCUCCAAAACUGUUAUCCCAGGAUAACAGCAAAAAUCAGGUUAAAAUUCCUGGGUCUUCAGUCAGACCAAGCUGCUACAGAUUCCCAUGGAAUAAAUCCUGCAGGAUUCCCAUUGCUACACAAAAAUGGCUCCAAAACUGUUAUCCCAGGAUAACAGCAAAGAGAAGUUAAAAUCUCUGGAUCCUCAUCAGAGUGAGCUGGAAUAAAUCCUGAAGGAUUCCCACUGCAAAAGGGUCCCAAACUGCCUGGGAAAACAGCAAAAGUCAGGUUAAAAUCCUUGGAUUCUCACCCAGACUGAGGGGGAAUAAAUCCUGAAGGAUUCCCAUAAAAAUGGCUCCAAACUCACUGGGAAAACAGAAAAAAUCAAGUCAAAAUCCCUGGAUCCUCACCACACUGAUCUGCUGCCCAUUCCCACAGAUUAAAUCCUGCAGGAUUCCCAUUUUUCCAUGAAAACAGCCCCAAAGUGCCUGAGCUGAGCCCCCAAUCUGCUCCAUGGCUGCAGCCCAGAGCCAAAGUGCAAGGCUCUGAAAUUCCAGGUGUUCCAGGAGCCUUGGCAUCCCUGCCCUGCUGCUCCCCAGGGAUUGUUUUUGGAGCCUGGAACCUUCCUGUUGAAACAUCUCUCUAAUUGCAAUAAUUGAUCCUAAUUGCUCUCUGCAUUUCCAAAUUCCACAGGCAAGGCUAGGUUGCAUCCAAGCCCAGGAAAACAAUGAUGAGAUCCAAGCACUGCCCCAUUAUCUCUCUCUUUUUUGGUAUUUAAUGACCUAAGAAAGUUACAAAAGCCACUUUAAAUUACAUUUAGGUAGAUAAACUAAUUAAAUCUAUUUAGCUAAUACUGAGAAAAUAAAUCCCAAGCACCAUGAAGACAAAAAACAAUUAGAGAUGAGUAAUUCCAGGGUAAUUAAGGACUUUUUAUGGAGUCUCUGGAUGAGUUGGAGACCACUGGAAGUUGACCUCAUUCUCAUUUUCCAACAGUGUGGAAUGAGUGUGGAAUUUCCAAAUGAGUGAUUAGCCCAGAUUUAAUUAAGUUCUGCAUUCUGGGAGAACAAUUUUAUGACUCAUUACAUUUUUUUUUUUUGCCAGUUCUUAAUUUCAGGAAUGGCAGAUUUGCUGGGAAUUUCAGUGGAAUUUUCAGAGGAUUCUGAGCAUUACAACAAGCAAU